GAGAAAUGCAGCGGGACACUCCGUCCCCAACCCAUCUCACAUCCACACACCUCCUGUGCACCGUCGGGUGGACAAAGUUGAACCGGUGUUCAACGUCCUGCCCCCUCUCCUCAGAAACCCCUGAUGCAUGUAUGGAAAGUUGGUAACAGGGCCACCGUGCCGCUGGAGCCUGAAAAGGAAUUGUUA
rnacentral:misc_RNA from 1 species